CAGCCUAGUCCAGUCGUUCUGAAGCAAGCGCGAGAAAAAACGUGGAUGUAGUACGAGGCUGGGACCUAGGUGUGACGUCACCCCUAAAGGUGCUUUAGAACGCCUAGCAGAUUUCAGUGUUUUUAAUAUGGCGGAAAAUUUAUAAAUACAAAUAAGCUUGUAAAUACGACAAUGUUCGUUGAUCAUGUUCGAUGUCUACGUAACCAAAUUCAAACUGUAUUAAUUUUAAAAUUUGCUCAAUUAAAAAAAAAAUAUAUACAAAUUUACGUUACUGAGUCUGAGCAAUGGUCGUAUAAUCGUUGAUGUUAUUUAUAUACUCGCAAGUUGUGAUCAACACUAAACCGCGGUAUUGGUAUACACAACUACGCUUUCUACUUGACAGGUUUAAGUAGCUGAGGGGAUUGGAAAUAUUUGCCUGACAUGACUGUGUUGUCAAACAUUUUUAGUCGGAAACUCCGCAUAAUUUUGAAGCUUCUAGAUAGCAUUUAAUAUGGCUUUAUAUUUUAGUAAACACGAGUCAUAUUUAGCCCGUUAUUCCAUUCUGACCGUAUGGUAGCGAACCGUAGCCUAUUUCAUUGUUCCGACAGCAUUAGAGCAAAACUAAUGACUUAAUUAUAAACGCAACGGAAAUUCCAUAACAUUUUCUAUUUACAAAAUGCUGUAUGCUUGGUAACCAGGCCAGGGACCACUUUUUUGAAAUCAGGGACCAUUUUACCGAAAUCUGCUAGGCUCUCUCGCUGAAGCGUUCCGCACAGCACACCCAGGCAUAAAACUUGUAAGACUUAUUUAAAUAUAUCAAAGCAGCGAAGAGAGAGCCUGGGACUAGGCUG